rnacentral:misc_RNA from 1 species
GGUAGUUCCAAAGGAAAUGACUGAUGAUGUAGCCAAGGUUAAUAAGGAAUAUGAGAUGCUAGUCUUGUCUUACGAUUCUUCGUAAUCCCCUUUCUACCGAUUCCGAUAUAGCCAAAGGAGGGCUGUGGGUGUGGAAGGGGCCUAUCCGCCUCGUCUCUCACGUCGCGUAAUCGAGGUGGCUAAGGGUUUAAAGGACCUCCUACGUUAGGAAAAGGAAAAAAACUCCGAAGCUUUGGUAGCGUUGGAAGCUUUGGGUACUGGACCUCCUCUUUGCUAUUGAAGCUAUCGAUCUGAUCUUAGCCUACUCCUCGGGCUGUUCGGUACUUUAUAUGCUUGCCGCGGAUAAAGACUACUUUCCUAUUCGCUUGCCUGCGCGCCUCUAUUCAUGCGGGACCUCCAUGGAAGUGCCGCCGCCUCAUGUGGCUUACUGGCUGAUGUGGCUUACCGGCUUGCCUCGAGAAUGGACUAGUUGAAGUGACGCUUCGCUAGCAUCGGGAUUGACGAGCUUGCCUGGCAUUCAGGUAUUUAAUCCAGUCUUGCCUUAUUAGCAUUGACUCUUGCGAAGAAAGAACCUCAGGAACGGAAUCCACUUACUUUCCUCACUUCAAAAAAUGGACAGACUCACCAACCUGUCCAAAGGCCGAUCGCUUCGCUUGUCCCAUACCGGAAGUUUUUACCUACCCAACUGAGGCUUUCCUGGGACUUUCCGGGCGGUUCUAAAGGUGCUCCUCACUGGUCUUUCUCCUCCGCAGGUUAAGCCUACUCCUCAAUAAACAUCUUAUCUCAUCCACUGAGGAUCCUACUCCUCGUCUUCCUCCAUGAGGCGGCGGCAGGAGCAAAGACAAUCAGAGCUUCCCCCCCGAGGGGUAAUCCAUGCCCUUCCUCCAAGACCGCUCCGCUUAUUCUGCUCUCUUAUAGUUGUUCAUUUCUGAUUCACUUCUUCCUACCUCUGGGCACUUCACUGGGUCUCAUCACUUGAUUCCUGUGGGUGAGAGAAUAGUUCCUAUGCCAACCCUAAGAGGCUUAGACCGCUACCUCCCUUCGACUAUCAUUAUUCCCCCGGCUCCGGGAAUGAAUUAAGAAAUUGAAUCCUUUCAGUUAGCAUUAUAAUAUGCUUAACACAUUGAGUUCGAUGUAUAUAACGAUGUGCUCUAAGGGAGAAAAUGCAUUCUCUAUUCCCAUCCCGAAUCU